UGAAAACGCAGUUAAUAAGAAGUAAGUGCCAAUAAUUAUGUGUUUUUGUUACGUCUAAAAUGUUGGUGACUGAUUUUUUAUUAUUAAAUGCGAAAGGUUUAAAUAAAAAAAGGGAAAAUCAAGUGGUUAUGUAACAAUAACAAAUAUUAAUUACGGUCCUGUACGACCGUACCGGUAAUAAACGCUCAAUGCAUUCAAAAACAAACGUCAAACUUCAAUCAUUUUACUUUUUUUCAAAUAUAAAAUACAUUUAAAAUUAACAGUGUUAACAGAAUAUAUACUUUAAGAGAAUGUCGGCAGCCAAAAUAGUGGAAUUAACUGACGAAAACAUCUGUAAAAUAUGUGAAAAUGCUUAUGGGAAAUAUUCUUGUCCCCGUUGUAACAUUAAGUACUGUUCCUUAUCGUGCUAUCAGUCAGAAAAACAUCAACAGUGUUCAGAGUCAUUCUAUAAAGAUUGUGUAUAUCAGGACUUGGCAUUAGAUCAAAGUGAUCCUAAUUCAAAAGAAAGGAUGCUAGAAAUUUUAAAACGUGUACACGAAGAUAACAUUGGAAACGUAAACGAAGAUAUUCAAGAAGAGAAUGGCUCUGAUAAUUUGGAUUCUGAUGAUGAAGUUUACAUUGAUUUGAAUGAACGUUUAAAGGGGGUAAAUUUAGAUGAUGCAGAUAAAGUUUGGGAAAAAUUAACAUCAGAUGAGAGACAAGAAUUUGAAUCAUUUAUUAGGUCAGGAGAUGUAACUAAUUUAAUUGAAAAAUGGGAUCCAUGGUGGCUUUAUCGAUCAGAAAAGAAAGUUAUAGAAGUAGAAAAGACUGAGGAAUAUAAACAGAAAUGCCCUAAGAUUACAGAAGAUAUCAUGGCUUUCUCGACUUUGUGUAGUAAACCACCAGCCCCAUGUCUCAAAUUUAAUUUAAUCAACAUAAUCGGCUCUUACGCCUUUGUGACACGUUAUUUUAAUGGAGAGUACUAUGAUUUUGCCAAUGAGGCAGCUUCAACUAUAAUUUGUAUAUCUCUAGUACUUAGAGAAUCUCAUAAUUUUGAAGAUUCAGAUUCUGCUUUGGUUUCGAUUCACCAGGAAUGUAUAAAUAGCGAUUGGAUCACCAUUGAUCAAGAAAAUAUAGAUGUCUUGCAAGAAGACGUUAAAAAGAUCCUUCUUGGACCCACUUCGAGUGAUAGUAAAUAUUAUAUUAUGUGCGCUCUUUCGGAUCUUCAGAAGCUAAUUGAUGUUGCAAUUGAAACCCCAAAAGAAGAGAAAAAGAAAAGUAACUUUUUAGAUGCAUUAUCUGAUUAUGAAAUGCCGUCAACUAAACUUAUUCCUAAGAAGGAAAUGUUAAGGCAUUUAAAAAAAAUUGAAUUCUUUUUAUCAUAUGUAAAAGACUGCUUAGAAUGCUAAAUAAAAAUCCAAAUCUGAAUAAAUACUUUCAUCACAAUAAGUUUCUGUUUUUGUAAGAUAAUUUUCUAAUACUAAAGUUAACAAGUAUUUAUUUUCGGAAUUAAGUCAACCAUUUUCGAUCACAGUGUUCUCCCGUAAAAUAUACUCUAGGAACUUUGUUUUGCAACGGCGUCAUUUAGAUGUGAGAUAGAUAACUAUAGGAUUAAAUAAGGGUAAUUUAGAUAAAUUGUGCUCCUCUUCAAAGUACAAUUAGUUUGGGUUUCCCUGAUUUUUUCUAAUUUUGUAGUUGACCGGAAGAACCGAAAACUAACAAUUACGAAUAUACCAUUAAUGUGGUUAUUAACAUUCCCUAUCCCCAAUCAAAGGCUUUACUUUACAUAGUCGCAUGGUAAAUGUCAAACAAUAUUUUAGAAUAAUUCAAAUCAAAUGGAAAGCAAUUUGAGAACACCCAGUACAUGUUUUUACAUUUAUAUCUGUAGUUUUCCGCGAUUGGUUCUUGCUUAUAAUAAAAUCAAUAAACUUACUGUCAGCUGUCAUUUUACGUCCAAUUAGGUGUAAUAAGGUAUUGUCGUCAUAUUUAUCUAUAAAGUCUGAAGCAAGUUAUAAUAAUACUGUUAUUUAUUUAAAUUAUUCAUUUUAAUAUUUAUCAGAAUAAAACAUGCACUCGUUGGUGGGUUAUGGAAGUGAUGAUGAUUUGGACGAAUCACCACCCCCACGAAAAUCGUAUGACGCAAAAGAACAUCGUCUUCCUACUUAACAGGCCUGGCAGUUGGGGAACCAAAUUGGUUUUCAAAGUCAGACCCGCCUUCGUUCAGUUCAACCGUCGCAAGCUGAUGUUAAUUAUGAGGAAGUACAGAUGGAUCUUAGUGAGUGGUUUCGAGAGUACACCAACUGCCUUGUUCUGAUAGUGAACAUCAAGAUGAGCCAUCGGUAAGUACUUGUCGGUCUGGACAACCAGAUAACGACUGAAAUUAGUUUCUACCAUAGUUUUCUUCCAUACCAUUUUGUUGUUUAAGCAGUCCAUUAUAAUGAUUUAUAACUGUCAAAAAUGAAUUCUUAUCUUUUUAUUAUUGUGUCUAAGAUACUUAAAGUAAGUAAUUAUUAAUAUCAGUAAAAAUAAAAUGUUAUAUCAAAAUAAUGACCAUAAAACUGCUACACAUCAUGUUAAAUCUUACAUGCAUAAUGUAAAUUAAAAUUUAUUUGCUUAAGUUAAUAAUCAUUAUUUAAAAUACAAAAUUGUACAACGAAUUUAAUCUUGCAAAUUAAUUAGAAUUAACGAAAAAACGUUUUUGGUUAUUCAGAGACUUGUUUGUAAGCAUUGCUUGGAUAUGAUUGCCAACAAUUUACAUUUUUAAA
rnacentral:misc_RNA from 1 species